GUGCUCGCUUCGGCAGCACAUGGACUAAAAUUGGAAUGUUACAGAGAAGAUUAGCAUGGCCCCUGCACAAAGAUGACACACAAAUUCGUGAAGCGUUCCAUAUUGUU
ensembl:snRNA U6 U6 spliceosomal RNA